rnacentral:rRNA from 1 species
UACGAAGGGGGCUAGCGUUGCUCGGAAUCACUGGGCGUAAAGGGUGCGUAGGCGGGGCUUUAAGUCAGGGGUGAAAUCCUGGAGCUCAACUCCAGGACUGCCUUUGAUACUGAGGAUCUUGAGUUCGGGAGAGGUGAGUGGAACUGCGAGUGUAGAGGUGAAAUUCGUAGAUAUUCGCAAGAACACCAGUGGCGAAGGCGGCUCACUGGCCCGAUACUGACGCUGAGGUGCGAAAGCGUGGGGAGCAAACAGG